CACAGCCACUUCGACUAUGACCCUCGCACGGAUGAGUUUUUCUUUGACCGGCACCCGGGCGUCUUUGCCCACAUCCUGAAUUACUACCGCACUGGCAAGCUGCACUGCCCCGCGGACGUGUGCGGGCCCCUGUAUGAGGAGGAGCUGGCCUUCUGGGGCAUCGAUGAGACCGAUGUGGAGCCCUGCUGCUGGAUGACCUACCGGCAGCACCGCGACGCCGAAGAGGCUCUGGACAGCUUUGGUGGGGCACCCCUGGAUAGCAGUGCUGAGGACGGAGACAUAGAUGGCACCGGAGACUCUGGUGAUGGUGAAGAGGAGCUGGAGAUGACAAAACGCCUAGCACUUAGUGAUUCCCCAGAUGGCAGGUCUGGGGGCUUCUGGAGACGGUGGCAGCCCCGCAUCUGGGCGCUCUUUGAGGAUCCCUACUCCUCCAGAUAUGCAAGG